CCCCUCAUCAUUCUAGUCACACCCCCUAGACACAUUAAAUUCAACCAAAUGCCCAAAGUGCCUCUAUCUAUGAUCAUAUUCAAGUUUCAAAACACUUUUCUCUCUUAUCCAUGUUCAAAUUGUAGUGAUUUUUUUAAUUUAUUACUAUUAUGCGAUCUUUGACGUACAACAUGAACAAAUUCAUUGACGUACAACAUGAACAAAUUCUUCAUCAAAGUAACUGUUGAUAGGUAAAUACACUGCUACAAAUUCUCAGUUCAUAUUUCUCUUAAGUGGUAGAGAGCUUCCUAGAGUAAACGAUAUACAUGGGAUCAGAGCGUCCGGGAUUUGGAGAUAUAUCCACAGCCUACAAAAAGAAAAGACAUUGGCCUCAGCAUUGGUAACACUGUCACAUGCUAACAUCAUAUACAACAUUGUAGAGGCUUUCAUAUUUGUUUCAUGACUAGUAAAAGAAAAUUCUGUUUAAUAUAUAGGGAAAACAAGAGGUUGAAUUAAUUACCCUUCAGCAGUACCUUAAACCAUACUAUUUAGUAUGUUAUAACUGAAGUUUGUCCUAACAAAAUGGGAAAAUAUCAGUGAGAUUUACCUCAGGAGGUUCAAAUCCUCCAGCAUAAUGAAAAUACGAUCCAACAAUCAUAACGUGAUCAGCAUCUCCAGUUGAAGUCCAUAUAGAAAUGGCCUUUGUAAAGAAGCAUCGGUUUGAGAAGCUGGAAUCAUUCAUCCUUAGUUGAGUAGGAUAUUGUAAGAUAUACAAGACCAAUAAUAGAUAUAACAUUGUAAAAUAGAGAAAUGUUAUUACUGAAAAGAUAUGAUCGCAUAUCAUGUUCAUUGCGUGAACCAUGCCCUGAGAAGUAGAAUAGGAUAUGAUCGCCCGACAUAGAAUUAUGUAGCAUGUCCUUCAAUUCAAAUCGUUCAUUAUACAUUGUGAACGGUUGAUAAGAUACGGACCGUUAUCCGUCACAAAGAUAAUAUUUUCUUCUUGAAACCCAUAUGAUUUAAUCAAUGAUUUAAUCAAUGAAAGUUUCAAAAGUUCGGCAUAUUUCACAUAACACAAUCUAUUGUACAUGUUCUGUGGAAACUCAGAGUGUAGUAUUCUUCCUACUGUUAUUACUGGUACUUACGCAAAUUAAUAAAUUUUAUUGAAUUUAUGUUUCAAUGUCUGGAUAUCAUUUAAAUUAUUUCAUUUUCUUUGCAGAAAAAGAUUUAAAUUCUUGUGCGGUCUUGUUACCGGAUUCAAUAUUUUUAACAGUGACAAUGGAUUGUUGCUAUAGUGGUGGGUUUUUUAAAUCGAUAAAACAACAGGUACUCUGUAAGCCAAGAAGAGGGUUUGGCGUUAUUUCAGAUUUUACAGAUUUUCAAAAGCUACUCGAUAGGCCAAGAGGGUUAGGCGAAGUUCCACAUUUUCAAAGUGAAGCAGAUUUUGAAAGUGAAGACAAUGGAACACAGUGGAAACGAAUAUGCUUUAUUUCCUCGUCUGACAGAAAUCAAGUUUCAUACGACAGUAAAAGAAUAUUUCGAGAAUGCAUUUCCGCUUUUUCCGACGCUCUAUUAAGCUGCAUGGGCAGGGAAGGAGACCUCAACAAUUUUGAAUUGACGAGGGAGAUAAACAACAUUUUAGCUUAUACUUGCUCAAUUCAAACGGCUUGUCUAAAGUGUGAUAAUAAUUUAUCACCUAAAUUGUUUCUAGAUGGAAAAGAAAAGAAUUAAUAGCAAUGAAGUAUAUGCCUCGUGUUUUGAACUAUAGAUCAAUGAUGUUCGUGAUGUGACCUGGUGGUAGGAUGUUUUGUAAGAUGUUUUGUGCUUGAGAUGUCAUUAACAUGUGGUUUGAUGAUGUGGAUUCAUCGAAAAAGUCUCUAAAUUAGUUGAUGAUUUCUAAAUAAAUCUUUAAACUUAAAGAUUUUAAUUUUGUCCCUAAAAUUUGAAUAAUUUAUAAUUAGAUUUUUAAAUUUAGGAUCUAAUUAUAAAUUAUAGAGUAUUAGAAACCUAAUUAUAAUAUUUUUUGUUACAAAAAGCUACUUAAAAUUCUCUACAAAGUUUAAUCAAAGCCUAAAAAACUAGUUUAAUCAAAAGGAAAAUGUUCAAACCUAUGUUUACUGAGCCCACAUAUGAAUUGUUUUCAAAACACAUUUAAUUUAAUAACACCCCCUCAUCAUUCUAGUCACACCCCCUAGACACAUUAAAUUCAACCAAAUGCCCAAAGUGCCUCUAUCUAUGAUCAUAUUCAAGUUUCAAAACACUUUUCUCUCUUAUCCAUGUUCAAAUUGUAGUGAUUUUUUUAAUUUAUUACUAUUAUGCGAUCUUUGACGUACAACAUGAACAAAUUCAUUGACGUACAACAUGAACAAAUUCUUCAUCAAAGUAACUGUUGAUAGGUAAAUACACUGCUACAAAUUCUCAGUUCAUAUUUCUCUUAAGUGGUAGAGAGCUUCCUAGAGUAAACGAUAUACAUGGGAUCAGAGCGUCCGGGAUUUGGAGAUAUAUCCACAGCCUACAAAAAGAAAAGACAUUGGCCUCAGCAUUGGUAACACUGUCACAUGAUAACAUCAUAUACAACAUUGUAGAGGCUUUCAUAUUUGUUUCAUGACUAGUAAAAGAAAAUUCUGUUUAAUAUAU
rnacentral:lncRNA from 1 species